UACGUAGGGUGCGAGCGUUGUCCGGAAUUAUUGGGCGUAAAGAGCUCGUAGGCGGUCUGUCGCGUCGGAUGUGAAAACUCGGGGCUCAACCCCGAGCCUGCAUUCGAUACGGGCAGACUAGAGUUCGGCAGGGGAGACUGGAAUUCCUGGUGUAGCGGUGAAAUGCGCAGAUAUCAGGAGGAACACCGGUGGCGAAGGCGGGUCUCUGGGCCGAUACUGACGCUGAGGAGCGAAAGCGUGGGGAGCGAACAGG
rnacentral:rRNA from 1 species